ensembl:vault_RNA Vault Vault RNA
GGGCUGGCUAUAGCUCAGCAGUUCCUUCGACACAGCAGCUAUUUAAAGGUAAGUCAGCACGUUGGUGUUGGUUCGAGUCCUGCAAGCGCUCUCCAGCCUUUAA